rnacentral:rRNA from 1 species
GAUGAACGCUGGCGGCGUGCCUAAUACAUGCAAGUCGAGCGAACGGACGAGAAGCUUGCUUCUCUGAUGUUAGCGGCGGACGGGUGAGUAACACGUGGAUAACCUACCUAUAAGACCGGGAUAACUUCGGGAAACCGUAGCUAAUACCGGAUAAUAUUUUGAACCGCAUGGUUCAAAAGUGAAAGACGGUCUUGCUGUCACUUAUAGAUGGAUCCGCGCUGCAUUAGCUAGUUGGUAAGGUAACGGCUUACCAAGGCAACGAUGCAUAGCCGACCUGAGAGGGUGAUCGGCCACACUGGAACUGAGACACGGUCCAGACUCCUACGGGAGGCAGCAGUAGGGAAUCUUCCGCAAUGGGCGAAAGCCUGACGGAGCAACGCCGCGUGAGUGAUGAAGGUCUUCGGAUCGUAAAACUCUGUUAUUAGGGAAGAACAUAUGUGUAAGUAACUGUGCACAUCUUGACGGUACCUAAUCAGAAAGCCACGGCUAACUACGUGCCAGCAGCCGCGGUAAUACGUAGGUGGCAAGCGUUAUCCGGAAUUAUUGGGCGUAAAGCGCGCGUAGGCGGUUUUUUAAGUCUGAUGUGAAAGCCCACGGCUCAACCGUGGAGGGUCAUUGGAAACUGGAAAACUUGAGUGCAGAAGAGGAAAGUGGAAUUCCAUGUGUAGCGGUGAAAUGCGCAGAGAUAUGGAGGAACACCAGUGGCGAAGGCGACUUUCUGGUCUGUAACUGACGCUGAUGUGCGAAAGCGUGGGGAUCAAACAGGAUUAGAUACCCUGGUAGUCCACGCCGUAAACGAUGAGUGCUAAGUGUUAGGGGGUUUCCGCCCCUUAGUGCUGCAACUAACGCAUUAAGCACUCCGCCUGGGGAGUACGACCGCAAGGUUGAAACUCAAAGGAAUUGACGGGGACCCGCACAAGCGGUGGAGCAUGUGGUUUAAUUCGAAGCAACGCGAAGAACCUUACCAAAUCUUGACAUCCUUUGACAACUCUAGAGAUAGAGCCUUCCCCUUCGGGGGACAAAGUGACAGGUGGUGCAUGGUUGUCGUCAGCUCGUGUCGUGAGAUGUUGGGUUAAGUCCCGCAACGAGCGCAACCCUUAAGCUUAGUUGCCAUCAUUAAGUUGGGCACUCUAAGUUGACUGCCGGUGACAAACCGGAGGAAGGUGGGGAUGACGUCAAAUCAUCAUGCCCCUUAUGAUUUGGGCUACACACGUGCUACAAUGGACAAUACAAAGGGCAGCGAAACCGCGAGGUCAAGCAAAUCCCAUAAAGUUGUUCUCAGUUCGGAUUGUAGUCUGCAACUCGACUACAUGAAGCUGGAAUCGCUAGUAAUCGUAGAUCAGCAUGCUACGGUGAAUACGUUCCCGGGUCU